rnacentral:rRNA from 1 species
UACGUAGGCAGCAAGCGUUGUUCGGAAUUACUGGGCGUAAAGAGUGUGUAGGCGGUGCUCUAAGUUCGGUGUGAAAUCUCCCGGCUUAACUGGGAGGGUGCGGCGGAAACUGGGGUGCUGGAGUGCGGGAGAGGUAAGCGGAAUUCCCGGGGUAGCGGUGAAAUGCGUAGAUAUCGGGAGGAACACCUGCGGUGUAGACGGCUUACUGGACCGUAACUGACGCUGAGGCACGAAAGCGUGGGGAGCAAACAGG